rnacentral:misc_RNA from 1 species
AACGCACAUUGCGCCCGCCAGCACUCUGGCGGGCAUGCCUGUUCGAGCGUCAUUUCGACCAUCAAGUCCCCGGGCUUGUGUUGGGGACCUGCGGCCGCCCGCAGGCCCUGAAAACCAGUGGCGGGCUCGCUAGUCACACCGAGCGUAGUAGCAUCUAUCUCGCUCAGGGCGUGCGGCGGGCGCCGGCCGUUAAAGGACGAUGGGGACUCCCCCCCAAAGGUUGACCUCGGAUCAGGCAGGAAUACCCGCUGAACUUAA